GAUGCAAAUCCUAUGGAUAGGAAUACUAUAAUAUCAUUCUUCUACUCUUUAACCACUCAUGGUCUCCUGUCAAUCGUGAUCUGAGUGGUGCACCAUUCUUACUAAGAUUUAAAAAUUCUUCUCUCAUAUUCAUCUUCGUUGCACUGUCAACUGUAACAACAGUCAUUUCGGCAGUUGUAAUCUCUACUUAGCCUACCAACAGACAUAGACAUGUACCUCAACACAACUUCUACUGAACUGCCACCUCUUUGCCGUCUGCUGCCUAUUUGCUGGCCCUACAGUCUUUCUAGCCUUCGAACAGCAGAAAACAAAGCCUUCUUCGUCUUUGCCACGCCCGGCGUCGCUUCGGCCGUCGUCCCGACUUUGCAUCGCCAGUCGUCCCGUCUUAGCAUCGCCCGUCGUCCCGUCUUCGCAUCGCCCGUCAUCCCG